UUUUAUUUUUAUUUUUUUACUUUUAAUUGUUUAUUUUGUAUGAUUAUGGACUUAAAAGAUAAGAUAUUUAGGAUUUGGAUUUAAAAGAAAUUGAGCCGGGCAGCCCAUGAUGUAUAUAGGGUUUAUUAUGUUAUGGGGCGGGUGAGUGAUUAUGAUUAUAAAUAAGGAAGAUAGUACGUAAUUGUUAAUUGUGAUUCUUUGAAA
rnacentral:lncRNA from 1 species